AAUUUCAAGUGUCCGUGUCACCCCAAGGCUCCGGGAGAUGAGGAGAAAGCACCAGAGGAGGAAGGAGGAAGGAGGAGACUCAGACAUCCCGCCCACCGCUGUACUAACCAAACCGAGAGCCUUAACCGUGGGAGUCGACCUGUCCGUUGGGGAGAAAAUAAAAUAAGUAUCUCCUCAUAUCCUAACCAAAACUAAUUUGGAAACAUUUACUGCUAGUAUCGAACGAUCUGAGCUCUUAAGCCUCUCUCACAUAUUCAUAUUCAAGAUAAAAAAGUAUUUGGCCUUUUCCUGCUGCUUAGGAUGUUGCUUUCACUCCUUAAAAUUCAGUCAGGGGAGAGAGACAGGAGAGACCAGCCUUUACUUAGGAAGAAAUAAUAAGGAAAAUAAAAGAGACAUUAAAUACACAGUACUGUUAAGCCAUUUAAAAGUUGAUGCAGAAAUGGAACCUGACAGUAAAUUUCCAAGGGAAAUUUACCUCACGUCUCCUUAAAAAGAAAGAAUAAAACGUUUUAGGAUGAGGCUCCCUGAUUUAGAACGGUUCACUCUCCUGACUAUUGGGAUUGGGUUUAUAUUCCGUAUGAGGUUUGGCUUUAGUUUAAGAAGAGAGACAAGAAAAUGCUUGCACAUCCUCGAGCAGUGUGAUUUGAAGGAGAUCUGGAAAAUAAUUGCUGCUGCACCUUGUUGUGAAAGCAGUGGUAGAGUCUGUGCUCGUGGGCUCAAUCCCAGGUCGAUAUUUUUCAGAGACUUAACCCGCCUACUUGUGGAAGCGCCCCAUCCGGUCAGCGUCCUGCCAGGCCGAGGUGCGGCCUCAGACGUCAGCGGGAGCCGAGCCGACGGGAGGGUGAGGAUGGCCAGAUGAAAAGAUGCUGGCAGCAGCAAAGGACUGCCACCUGAAUUCCAAACCUCCAGUUGGCUUGGCAUCUCCCAGAAUAUCGGAGGACUGAAUCCGGUGGUGAGAGAAGACCUGCGCUCUGGCUCACGCGGCAAGGGAUGGAUAAAGGCAAAGCCCUUAGAGGCCCUGAACCAAUCCCCAGGUUGGCAACUCUUUAAGAUUUGGGAGGCUGCUACUCUGGACUGGAUCUUUCCUGGAUGAGGUAGGCCCUGGUAGAAGCAGAGGUAGGUGCAGGUCAGUAGGGAGAAAUUUUCUAAUUCCCGGCAUGGGUGGUGGUUGGUGGGGCUGGAGUCGGGCGUGGGAGGCGUUCAAGGGAUAUCCUCAGGGUGGCCCUGGGAGCUGGCAAGCAUUGCCUCGUCAUCUGUCAGUGCAUUUACUCCUGCCUUAGCUUUUGUACUUCAAAAUCUGCAUUCCCGACAUGCAGCAAGGAGAGAAUUGGCGUUCCUAAAUCCGGGGAAGAAAUGAGGCGAAGGGGCAGCCGAGCAAGAAGGAGAAUUCACGCGAUGGUUCAUGCUGUAGGA